rnacentral:miRNA from 1 species
GAGCUGGGCUGAGCUGGGCUGAGCUGGGCUAGACUGGGCUAGACUGGGCUGAGCUGAGCUGAGCUGAGCUGGGCU